AUUGAACGCUGGCGGCAGGCCUAACACAUGCAAGUCGAACGAGUGGCGGACGGGUGAGUAAUGUCUGGGAAACUGCCUGAUGGAGGGGGAUAACUACUGGAAACGGUAGCUAAUACCGCAUACCAUCGGAUGUGCCCAGAUGGGAUUAGCGAGUAGGUGGGGUAACGGCUCACCUAGGCGACGAUCCCUAGCUGGUCUGAGAGGAGGACCCGCCACACUGGAACUCAGACACGGUCCAGACUCCUCCGGGCGGCAGCAGUGGGGAAUAUUGCACCAUGGGCGCAAGCCUGAUGCAGCCAUGCCGCUUGUAUGAAGAAGGCCUUCGGGUUUUAAAGUACUUUCAGCGGGGAGGCGUUACCCGCAGAAGAAGCCCCGGCUAACUCCGUGCCAGCAGCCGCGGUAAUAC
rnacentral:rRNA from 1 species